rnacentral:rRNA from 1 species
GCGAAAGUAAGAAUUAAUACCCAAUGACGUCCAUAGAAGACAUCUGAAAUGAUUAAAGAUUUAUCGGUGAUGGAUGGGGAUGCGUCUGAUUAGCUUGUUGGCGGGGUAACGGCCCACCAAGGCGACGAUCAGUAGGGGUUCUGAGAGGAAGGUCCCCCACAUUGGAACUGAGACACGGUCCAAACUCCUACGGGAGGCAGCAGUGAGGAAUAUUGGUCAAUGGGCGAGAGCCUGAACCAGCCAAGUAGCGUGCAGGAUGACGGCCCUAUGGGUUGUAAACUGCUUUUAUAAGGGAAUAAAGUGAGAGUCGUGACUCUUUUUGCAUGUACCUUAUGAAUAAGGACCGGCUAAUUCCGUGCCAGCAGCCGCGGUAAUACGGAAGGUCCGGGCGUUAUCCGGAUUUAUUGGGUUUAAAGGGAGCGUAGGCCGGAGAUUAAGCGUGUUGUGAAAUGUAGACGCUCAACGUCUGCACUGCAGCGCGAACUGGUUUCCUUGAGUACGCACAAAGUGGGCGGAAUUCGUGGUGUAGCGGUGAAAUGCUUAGAUAUCACGAAGAACUCCGAUUGCGAAGGCAGCUCACUGGAGCGCAACUGACGCUGAAGCUCGAAAGUGCGGGUAUCGAACAGGAUUAGAUACCCUGGUAGUCCGCACGGUAAACGAUGGAUGCCCGCUGUUGGUCUGAAUAGGUCAGCGGCCAAGCGAAAGCAUUAAGCAUCCCACCUGGGGAGUA